AGAAGCCCGAGAUUGCAAAGAGGGAGGGAAAACAGGCCGACCUCCCCGACCCGGGAGCUGAAGGUAACAACGUCAUUAUUCGAUGUACAGUCACUAAAGGGAGAUGCCAUUUUUAAGGACGCUUAAGUGAUGAGGCAGGGAGGAAAGAAUUGGUAAACAGUGAUGUAAGGCUUGGAGGCAAAAUUAACCACCCCGCCCUAUCCCCACCCCGCCCCCACCCCAGCCCGGGGCAUCAGGAAGGAGCCCAGGGCACUGCUUCCACGGGGUGCUAAUGCCACACUGUUGAAAGAAUAACCAAGGAUGACUUGCAAAUUUAAACUUUCAAAAGAAUGAAUUACAAAGAAACGAUAAUUAUCAAUAUUAUAAGAAGUUUAAUAAGGUUUGAAUAUGACUGUGAGCAACUUGGAGGGCGGAGGGGAGGAACUAUAGACCUGGAAGAAACUCCACACGGUUCUCUGUCUCUCUCCUCCUCUGUCUCCCCACCCCAGAACUGCCCCCAGCAAAGUCUGACGUCGGACGCCCUGAUCUCAGCCGUCUUUGCGAGCUGCUGAGCGCCAGGGAGAGACAUGUUUAAAACAGCACAGCCAGCAAGCGCCGGAGCUAGGAAUGAAAGCUAAGACUUGGGAUAAGUCCAGUCCUUCCACGGAGCGGAAACCAGGUCUGAGCUCCUGCCUUUUACAGCAAAAGCAGCAACCCCUUCGGGUCCUCACUGCUGUCUCCAGACCCAGACCCUCAUUUGGUCUUCAUGGCAGAGAAUGCUUCUGGCCCCGUGGGACAGACUUAGGAGGUAUGUGUCUGGAGGAAACGGGGCGUGGAAGGGGGAUGAAGGUGUAUGGGGGCACACGGUGGGGUGAAGAGGUUGAAGAGAUUAAGCAGGACAGAGGGCUCAGAUAGUUUUGUAAUCGGGUGAGGUAAGCGAGCUCUGGAAUAUUCAAGGGAGAG
rnacentral:lncRNA from 1 species